rnacentral:snoRNA from 1 species
GGCAUGAGAGAUACAUGCAAGAACAAAUCCUCUUUUGUAACCCAGAACUCAUUGCUCAGUGUGAGUUCUGAUAAAUAGAAGAUGGAUUAUG